rnacentral:misc_RNA from 1 species
GAGAGAGAGAGAGAGAGAGAAUGAACACCAAUGAAAGCAAAAGAUCAUAAAUAAAUGAAGAAGACAACAUUCUCAGUUCCCACUCCUAAUUAUAUGGACAAAUCUUCCAAGAAAUUUAUUUUCUCAGUAAGAAGACUAAUGCAUAGGACUUGGGAGAUUUAUCUUUAGGUAAAUGAAGCCGCAAGAGAAGAGGUCAUAGACUUCUAAUGAAUGUAAAUUUAGAAAAAGAGAUUAUUAGGUUAAAAUUUAUGAAACUAGAGAAGACAUGACAUGAGCUUCAACUUCAUUAUAGAAACAAAAAGCAAAACUGUUAGUAUUUUCAUACUAUGUUGCAGCGCCAUUAAAGCAGCAUACUUUGUUAUGAAAAACUACAACUUUUUGAUCUCUUCUCAAACAAAUUUGACUAAGGACUAAACAGUUGACAAUUUAUAACUUAAAAUUUACUAAAUCAUAAAACAGUUGACUAAUGAUUAAAACUAAGUACAAACCAGAUUCCAUCCAAAACACAGGCAUCCCACAAAACCAUGAAUAUAUUUACAUCACUAAAUUGCAUCCACUGAAACUGAUCAUUCUCAAUCGAAAAACCCAUGAAAAAAAAAA